GCAAAGCGGUUGUAGUGCCGGAUAAGUAAGUAAGUAGAAGCGAAAAAAAAAAUGCUUGGAGCAUGGAAUAAAGCCGAAUGAAAUUUCUAACCUUCCCGCACGACGCCGCCGCUAGGUAAGGUAUGUUUAUGUGAAAUUACGAUCAUUGUUCCAUUUUAGGGUGUGAUUUGUGCAAUAUAACCGUUCCUUGCGGGGAUAAUGAAUAGUCGAUACCCUCUGCAGCUGUGAAGGGGUGCAGAAGAAGGGGCUCGUUACCCCCCUUCCCAAACCCGGACACCUUUUCCGCGGAUAAAGGAUAUGUUCCUGGUGGGUUGAUCUUGUAUUUUAAUUGAAUGGUUUGUAAUGUAUGUGACCUUUCUCCUGGGACGCUAUAUGCGCCAAAUCUAACGGUGAUCCGUAUCGUGAACGAAUCGGCAUAGGCGGUGCCGGUCCCCGGCGGUUUGUGAAAGUGGUACACAACGGUAUAGAGUACGAUAGAUAACAUGCAACUGAUCUGCGAAGUGCGCCACCUGAUGCUGGCGUUCGGCAAGAUACAGAAGUAGAUGGCACAUGAGUUCGACGUGUGGAACAAGGACGUGCUAGAUUCGUUCCUGAUCGAGGACCGCGACGAUGAGGGAUAGUUACUGAAGCUAAUUAGUGACAUAGCUAGAAGGGUGCGGGCAAGUUGUCGGGGAUUGCCGCCCUGCGCCAUGCCGUUUUGGUGAUACGAAUUGAUGGAGCGGUCUUUUCCCGCUGCUUAUUUGCUCUGAAGGAUGGUCGUGCAUGGGCCAACUAUCAACUAGCCGGACCCAGCACGAAAUAUACCGCGCAAGGCUUCAUAUUGCUGCGCCAAGCGGCCAACGACCUAAAGUAGAACGUGAACUACGGUGCCAUUACACUGAUGGCAUAGCGGUUUGAUUUGUGUAAAAGUAAAUGGUCGAGCUAGCUGUGGCCACACGUCCUCAUUAGCGAUUCUUUGAUUAAAAGCGGUUAAUGAAGCUCUUAUACACCUCGAACUUGAUUAACGCAUGAUACAAAAGUAAGCAAAUUCUUGGCUUACAGAGCAUUAAUAUGGGCCAUUGGAUGUCCUUGGUUGGAAUCUUCGUAGGCUAGAAACCCGCUAUUGUUGACGACAUAGGGUGGUAGUGAUUCCGAGCCAAUCCAACGGAAUAUAUGCUUAUGCAUGCCCCAGCCUGAUCGUUUCUUUUACGAUAUAGCUUGCAGUGGCACUUGCCUUUCUUGACAAUCUUGCAUUAAGCCUAGGUAGCGAGGCUAUUGAGUCCGAAGACAUUAGACAAAGCGUUGAAUUAAAAUGUAACAUAGGAGUGAAACUAAAAUAUGUAUCUGAGUCAGUAAUUAUCAUUUCUUUCGGGUUCUUUCUCUACAACACUUUAUAAGCGAUGUGUUUUAUAACUUUGUGGUGUGAUCGCUGGUGGCAAUAUGACAUAAUUACUAUGCUUGGAGGUUCGUGUCCCCAGCAGCACAUCUAUCGCUAUCGUGACUCCGACCUCAAAGGUUAAUCAGCAAUAAAGAUAGCGAUAGGAUAACGGAAGCGUUACAAACCGUUAGCAACGAGAAUUAGAGCGUAGCACACGAAGCCUAGCACACGAAGUGUAGCACACGAAGCGUAGUACACCAAGCGUAGGGCCAAGCAAAGCAAGGUGCGUGAGAGCGCCACGC